rnacentral:lncRNA from 1 species
CCUUUUUAACACAUACCCAAAACCCAAAAUACCACCUACCCAUUUAAUCUUGACCGUUGACCUCCCAAAAACAGUCCCCAUUAUUCCCUUCCAUUUUUAACCUGAAAGACCCCCUAACCUAAUUCAAUCUUACCAAACUUCCACCCUAGAAUCCCCUUUCCGCUCCAAUUCUCUCAAAGACCUAGUCCUAACCCUGGCCGCCGCCACCCAAAACUAGCCCUAAUCUAUUCGAUCCUCACUUGAUCCAUGGAUUCCCAUGGCUGUUUGAGACGUAUACUUGUUUCCUAUGUCUCCUGGUUGCCCAUUUUUUUGAUUUCAUGGAAGGAUCUCGAAGAGAUCUAGACUAGAUCUUGUUCAAAACUCUCCGAGAAGCCUAUCCAUUGUCUUUCGUGCCAUUUUCCGGCCACCCAUGGCUGUUUGAGUAAGAUCCAUGAUUUUUUCGGCUAAAACCAUUAAAAUUAUAAGGUUUUCUCAUAUUAUUUGGGUUCUCUAAAAUCAAACUCUUGAGAUUUGUCACUUUUCUUUAGACCUGUCUUAUAUCUGGGUGUAUCCAUGAGUUUUUUAACCGAAUCUCUUUA